rnacentral:rRNA from 1 species
CCUGAACGCUGGCGGCGUGGCUAAGACAUGCAAGUCGCACGGGCCUCGCAAGAGGUCAGUGGCGAACGGGUGAGUAAAGAAUCGCUAACGUACCCCGGACUCUGGGAUAGCUACCCGAAAGGGUGGGUAAUACCAGAUGAUAUAACUUUCCUGCAUGGGAGAGUUCUCAAAGGCCGCCGGCAACAGUGGAACGGUCUGGGAGCGGGCGAUUUCGUAUCAGCUAGUUGGUGAGGUAACGGCUCACCAAGGCGACGACGCGUAGCCGGACUGAGAGGGUUGGCCGGCCACAUUGGGACUGAGACACUGCCCAGACUCCGUACGGGGGGCUGCAGUAACGAAUCUUCCGCAAUGCACGCAAGUGUGACGGAGCGACGCCGCGUGUGGGACGAAGCCC